AGGACGAACGCUGGCGGCGUGCCUAAUACAUGCAAGUCGAACGGUCUUUCUAUGGAAGCUUGCUUCCACUGAGAAGAUAGUGGCGAACGGGUGAGUAACACGUGGGUAACCUGCCCAUAAGAGGGGGGAUAACAUCCGGAAACGGGUGCUAAUACCGCAUAGUUUUCUUGAUUGCAUGAUUGAGAAAGGAAAGACGGCCUUUGUGCUGUCGCUUAUGGAUGGACCCGCGGCGUAUUAGUUAGUUGGUGAGGUAACGGCUCACCAAGACGAUGAUACGUAGCCGACCUGAGAGGGUGAUCGGCCACAUUGGGACUGAGACACGGCCCAAACUCCUACGGGAGGCAGCAGUAGGGAAUCUUCCGCAAUGGACGAAAGUCUGACGGAGCAACGCCGCGUGAGUGAAGAAAGGGUUUUCGGAUCGUAAAACUCUGUUGUCAGAGAAGAACAAGUUGGAGAGUAACUGCUCCAGCCUUGACGGUAUCUGACCAGAAAGCCACGGCUAACUACGUGCCAGCCGCAGC
rnacentral:rRNA from 1 species